rnacentral:rRNA from 1 species
CCUGGCUUAGGAUGAACGCUAGCGACAGGCUUAACACAUGCAAGUCGAGGGGUAACAGGGUAGCAAUACCGCUGACGACCGGCGCACGGGUGAGUAACGCGUAUGCAACCUGCCUAUAACUGGGGAAUAGCUCCCUGAAAGGGGGAAUUAACACCGCAUAACACUAUUGAUUCGCAUAGAUUGGUAGUUAAAUGUAGCGAUACAGGUUAUAGAUGGGCAUGCGUGACAUUAGCUAGUUGGUGAGGUAACGGCUCACCAAGGCUACGAUGUCUAGGGGUUCUGGGAGGAAGGUCCCCCCACACUGGUACUGAGACACGGACCAGACUCCUACGGGAGGCAGCAGUGAGGAAUAUUGGUCAAUGGGCGCAAGCCUGAACCAGCCAUGUCGCGUGCAGGAAGAACUGCCCUAUGGGUUGUAAACUGUCUUUUAUAGUAGAAGAAACACAUCUACGUGUAGAUGUCUGCCAGUAUACUAUGAAUAAGCAUCGGCUAACUCCGUGCCAGCCGCCGC